AAGAGGUUUCUUCUGAUUGACAGAGAAGUUGGGCCAGAGACUUACAAGCAGAUGGACUAAGAGGAACAAGGGAAAAUGUCUACUGAUCCAGGUGAAGAUCAGCCAUCGAGGAUAUGCUCAGAGAGCUGGGCAUAAGAUUGCUCUGCAGAAGUGUUACCAAGAAAGACAGGCACCAGACAAAAAGAUAUACGGCACAAAUAUCUGAAUAAAGAGACUGUUUUCUGGCUACAAUAAAUUCCUUAGUAUAUUUGAA